UACAGGGGGGGCAAGCGUUGUUCGGAAUUACUGGGCGUAAAGGGCGCGUAGGCGGCCUGCUAAGUCGAACGUGAAAUCCCUGGGCUCAACCCAGGAACUGCGUCCGAUACUGGUUGGCUUGAAUCCGGGAGAGGGAUGUGGAAUUCCAGGUGUAGCGGUGAAAUGCGUAGAUAUCGGGAGGAACACCUGUGGCGAAAGCGGCGCACUGGACCACAACUGACGCUGAGGCGCGAAAGCUAGGGGGAG
rnacentral:rRNA from 1 species